rnacentral:rRNA from 1 species
AAAUUGAAGAGUUUGAUCAUGGCUCAGAUUGAACGCUGGCGGCAGGCCUAACACAUGCAAGUCGAGCGGUAGCACAGAGAGCUUGCUCUCGGGUGACGAGCGGCGGACGGGUGAGUAAUGUCUGGGAAACUGCCUGAUGGAGGGGGAUAACUACUGGAAACGGUAGCUAAUACCGCAUAACGUCGCAAGACCAAAGUGGGGGACCUUCGGGCCUCAUGCCAUCAGAUGUGCCCAGAUGGGAUUAGCUAGUAGGUGGGGUAAUGGCUCACCUAGGCGACGAUCCCUAGCUGGUCUGAGAGGAUGACCAGCCACACUGGAACUGAGACACGGUCCAGACUCCUACGGGAGGCAGCAGUGGGGAAUAUUGCACAAUGGGCGCAAGCCUGAUGCAGCCAUGCCGCGUGUGUGAAGAAGGCCUUCGGGUUGUAAAGCACUUUCAGCGGGGAGGAAGGCGUUAAGGUUAAUAACCUUGGCGAUUGACGUUACCCGCAGAAGAAGCACCGGCUAACUCCGUGCCAGCAGCCGCGGUAAUACGGAGGGUGCAAGCGUUAAUCGGAAUUACUGGGCGUAAAGCGCACGCAGGCGGUCUGUCAAGUCGGAUGUGAAAUCCCGGGCUCAACCGGGAACUGCAUUCGAAACUGGCAGGCUAGAGUCUUGUAGAGGGGGGUAGAAUUCCAGGUGUAGCGGUGAAAUGCGUAGAGAUCUGGAGGAAUACCGGUGGCGAAGGCGGCCCCCUGGACAAAGACUGACGCUCAGGUGCGAAAGCGUGGGGAGCAAACAGGAUUAGAUACCCUGGUAGUCCACGCCGUAAACGAUGUCGAUUUGGAGGUUGUGCCCUUGAGGCGUGGCUUCCGGAGCUAACGCGUUAAAUCGACCGCCUGGGGAGUACGGCCGCAAGGUUAAAACUCAAAUGAAUUGACGGGGGCCCGCACAAGCGGUGGAGCAUGUGGUUUAAUUCGAUGCAACGCGAAGAACCUUACCUGGUCUUGACAUCCACAGAACUUUCCAGAGAUGGAUUGGUGCCUUCGGGAACUGUGAGACAGGUGCUGCAUGGCUGUCGUCAGCUCGUGUUGUGAAAUGUUGGGUUAAGUCCCGCAACGAGCGCAACCCUUAUCCUUUGUUGCCAGCGGUUAGGCCGGGAACUCAAAGGAGACUGCCAGUGAUAAACUGGAGGAAGGUGGGGAUGACGUCAAGUCAUCAUGGCCCUUACGACCGGGCUACACACGUGCUACAAUGGCAUAUACAAAGAGAAGCGACCUCGCGAGAGCAAGCGGACCUCAUAAAGUAUGUCGUAGUCCGGAUUGAGUCUGCAACUCGACUCCAUGAAGUCGGAAUCGCUAGUAAUCGUAGAUCAGAAUGCUACGGUGAAUACGUUCCCGGGCCUUGUACACACCGCCCGUCACACCAUGGGAGUGGGUUGCAAAAGAAGUAGGUAGCUUAACCUUCGGGAGGGCGCUUACCACUUUGUGAUUCAUGACUGGGGUGAAGUCGUAACAAGGUAACCGUAGGGGAACCUGCGGUUGGAUCACCUCCUUACCUUAAAGAA